GCUGUAGAAGCCCUUGUGAACUGUGAAUUUGCACCUGAGAUCCAAACAUUGUACGGUCCAACGCUCUGCACCAGCUUCAGCCUGGCUCGCAUCCAGCUAGUCCUGGCCCUCAGCAAGACACUAAGAGACCUUCCAGAUCCAGGUCUGUGAGAGAGAGAGAUUUAUUCAAGUGCUUUUGAUAGUUUUUUGGUUAUAAAAAGAACUUUGGAUUGAACGCACUUUAGACUUGAAGAGGGAAAAUCUUUUUCAGAUCCUGAAGAUUCAUGUGCUGCAAUCUUAGUGGCGUCUGAGUUCAGCGAACAGGAAAGACCGGACGAAGAACCAAAACCACUGAAGCAAAAACCUUUCACACUUUGUCAUGAAGGGAGUCAGCUCACAUCAGAAAGAAUUAAGAUGGUGUUACUGGAAGCAGCAUCUUCUCUGUUGACCUCCACCACAGAACAGCUGGUAUUGCUGGGCUGCAGUGAGGAGGAGAAGCUGGAGCUCACCGUGGAGUCCAGUCUUCUUAAAGCCAGCCUCCACCUACAGCAGGGACGUCCCAAACUCAGUUUUGAGGCAGCAGUUUCAUCUUUAGUCCUUCUACAAACAUCACCUGUGACUAUUGGAGCGUCCGACUCUAAACUUACAGAGGGCCCAGUGACGGACAGUCAGUCCAGAGACUGUCCUGGAGCUGCCGGGGCAGCCGAGAGAAUCGGUCCAUCUCUGUGGCUGCGUUGCCGCCUGGCUCUGGUACAAAGCCUGGUUGCCAGUAUCCAUGCAAAUGCAACUCUUCUCCCAGGUUUGGGUUCUGUGUGUUUUUGUUGA
rnacentral:lncRNA from 1 species